GGGGGUUCGAUUCCCGUUCUGAAUACCA
rnacentral:misc_RNA from 1 species